CCUACGGGAGGCAGCAGUGAGGAAUAUUGGUAAAUGGACGAGAGUCUGAACCAGCCAAGGAGCGUGAAGGAUGACUGCCCUAUGGGUUGUAAACUUCUUUUAUAUGGGAAUAAAACGUUCCACGUGUGGGAUUUUGUAUGUACCAUAUGAUUAAGGAUCGGCUAACUCCGUGCCAGCAGCCGCGGUAAUACGGAGGAUCCGAGCGUUAUCCGGAUUUAUUGGGUUUAAAGGGUGCGUAGGUGGGUUGUUAAGUCAGUUGUGAAAGUUUGCGGCUCAACCGUAAAAUUGCAGUUGAUACUGGCAGUCUUGAGUACAGUAGAGGUGGGCGGAAUUCGUGGUGUAGCGGUGAAAUGCUUAGAUAUCACGAAGAACUCCGAUUGCGAAGGCAGUUCACUGGACUGCAACUGACACUGAGGCUCGAAAGUGUGGGUAUCAAACAGGAUUAGAUACCCUGGUAGUC
rnacentral:rRNA from 1 species